ensembl:lncRNA
CCACAAAGCCUCCAAGAACCAGGGAGGGACAAUGUCCUCUAAAAAAAACAUGUUUCCCCUCAAACCUUCAUGGUCCCUUCAGGAUGAACUCUGCUGAGGAAGAGUUAAGGGUACCUUUGAGGGUUUUAUUUCCUGAUCCUUUGUUUUAGGAGGCUGCAUUGCCUCUUUUCCUUUGUUUUGUCUUUGAUCGUGAGGUUUAAAGUGGGACAGACUCGGGGUGAACUUGUUAAACUGCGUUUGUUUGUGUGGAGGAACAGCUUUAAUCAGACGACACGCUAAGAUCUGGUGAUGGAGUCACAUGACCUCAUCUACACAAUCGGGGGAUCUUUUGGUUCCUCUGGGUUCCUCUGGGUUCCUCUUGGCUCAUAUUGCUUCCUCUUGGUUAUUCUCUGUUCUCCUUGUUCUCAUAAGUUACGCUACGUUCUUCUAGGUUCCUAUCAGUUCCUCUAGGUUCCUAUCUGUCCUUCUUUGUUCCUCUAGGUUUCUCCUCGUUCCUCUAGGUUCCUAUCAGUUCCUUUAGGUUCCUAUCUGUCCUUCUUGGUUCCUCUUGGUUCCUCUUGGGUUUUGGUUGCUGACGUUUGAACUCUUGAACAGGAGGCAGCGGUGAGUGUCCUUAGAAGGAAGAAAAAGGUUGAUAAUAAGGAGUUAUGAGAAGAAGAUGAAAGAGCGGCGCCUACAGGAAUAGAUUAAUAAUAUAACAUUACUUUUGAAGACGCCUCACUUACAUAAUUUCUUUAUUACAUUUUUGUUUCCUAUGUGUCUGAUUUGAUGUUAAUGUUAAAAAUAAUACAAUUAGCUGCAAAUGUGAAAUUAAGUUUUCCAUUUGCAGACUGUCUUCCUUCCAGUGGGAAGAUGCGGACACACAUUAGUGUUUACAUCAACGCCUCACUGGAUGUUUGGUGAAUCCACUUCCUGGUCAAUGAGUCAUCAUAAAAAUACUAAAUAAUUUUGUGCAGAUGGAUUUGUUUCACGUGUAUAAGAUUUUAAAUUCAGAGGCUUUUAAAUAUAAAAGCUAAUAAAAUUGGAGCUCACGUUCAAAAGAGUCUUUGUUGAGGAUCAGACCUCCUGAUGAAGAACCGAAGGUCUCAACACAGAUUAUAGAAAUCCUCCUUCACUCUUUCUAAUGAAAUCCUUACAGAAGCUCAGGAAUACAGAUGGCUGACACCUUUGGGUCAAAGGUCACACCCAUGUCGCAUGUUUUUCAUCUUCAUCGCACUAUUUCUUCUAUCUAGUCUGAGAUGGCGAAAAAAAACUAAACUAAAACAAAAAAGCUGUUCAUUUAAAGUUAAUUUUUUCGUUUUAUUCGUUCUCUAUUUGGUUGUUGAGAAAAUAAUAUGAUAAGAAAUAUUAACUUCAAAGGUUCAGUUGGGAAAAAUUCACAAAAUGAAAAAAAGGCAAAAUAUUUUUCUUUAUGUUCCAAAAUGAAUUUAAAGGUUAUCUGUGAUACAUCCGAAUACUAAACAUAUGCCAUCAUUCCAUAAACUCUGAGGAUUAAUAAUAAUUCAGAGAUUUAUCUACAUUUAAGUAAUAAUAAUAAUAAUUAAAGUUAAUUUGAUCAAGUCAAUUACAACUGUGACUAUUGAUCUCUGUUGUAUUUAACACUUAAUACUGUAAUACUACAUAUUAUAUAUUCUCUUCUCCAGGUUUUAGUUCAAGAACAUAAUUUCAGACCAAAACCUUUAAGGCUUCAACUAAACCCUCCUGUUGUUAUUGUUCAACUUUUGUUGAACUAACAAGCUAACAUGCUACCACGCUAAGGUCCUAACAUGCUAACGCCAAUGUUCCAUCCUGUGAGCCAAUGAGUUUUUACACGGAUUUUAAAUGUGAAAAACCCCAAACAAUCAGACAGAGUGACGUAAUAAAACGGUAGUUUAAUAAUGAACAUCAAGGGAUUCCCUCAAUGUGACACGUCCUCCAUUUCCUCUUCUGUGUCGUCAGGAAAAUCAAAAUGGUGGAUUAAGUUAUUUAAAGUGAGCAGCUUUAAUCAUUGGCUGCUGAAAAGUCAACGUAGAGGAUUAAAGUCCUUUAAAGCACAAAGCUCACAUCCUGUCGCUCUCUCCCUCCCAGUCUGUCUCCCUCUCUGUCUCUGUCCCAGUGCUUCCACCCUCUGUCCUCUCUCUCUCUCUGCAGCCAGCUGUCGUCCCUCGUCCAGCGCCAUCAUCAGCAUCCCUCCCUCCCCCCGACGCACUCGCUUUUCUUGCAGAUUUCCACGGCCCCCCCGCCCCUCCCCACGUUGUCCCCUCUGGCUCCUGGGGCCGAGAGCGAUAUGAAGCGUCGCCAUGGGGUUAAUGGAAUUCUACCUGGAGAUUGACCCGGUCACCUUGAACCUCAUCAUCCUGGUGGCCAGCUAUGUCAUCCUGCUCCUGGUGUUCCUCAUCUCCUGCAUCCUGUACGACUGCCGGGGCAAAGACCCCACCAAGGAGUACGCGCCGGACACCUCUCCUGCCGCUGCAGCGCCUCCCCCUCCUCCUCCGGCAGCCGGCCAGUCGCCCAUCCACUUGGUGGUCAUGCAAAACUCCCCCGCCGCCUCCACCCGCAAUGAAGCCGGCCGAGGCGAGCCGCCGACGCCGGACCUGAGCCGGGAGAGAGAGAAGAGGACAACCCUGGUCUGAGGAAGAGGACGAGGAAGGGACACUGUUCUGUGUUUUUUUUAUUCUUUGUUUUUACUUUUUAAAACAUCUGGAUGUCUUUGGAGAGCUGCUGAGUGGGACAGCGGAAGGUAAGCAGCAGCAUAAGAUAACUUAUUAUUAUCUUCCAAUAAAUUCAUGCCGUCCCUCGAGUCUAAAUCUCAUACUUGGGACUCAACGUGGCGU